rnacentral:rRNA from 1 species
CCUACGGGAGGCAGCAGUAAGGAAUAUUGGUCAAUGGAGGCAACUCUGAACCAGCCAUGCCGCGUGCAGGAUGACGGCCCUAUGGGUUGUAAACUGCUUUUAUACAAGAGAAAACCCUGGUACGUGUACCAGGUUGAUAGUAUUGUAAGAAUAAGCAUCGGCUAACUUCGUGCCAGCAGCCGCGGUAAGACGAAGGAUGCAAGCGUUAUCCGGAUUCAUUGGGUUUAAAGGGUGCGUAGGCGGACUGAUAAGUCAGUGGUGAAAUCUCUUUGCUUAACAAAGAAACUGCCAUUGAUACUGUCGGUCUAGAGUAUAGAUGACGUUGGCGGAAUAUGACAUGUAGUGGUGAAAUACUUAGAUAUGUCAUAGAACACCGAUUGCGAAGGCAGCUAACGAAACUAUAACUGACGCUGAGGCACGAAAGUGCGGGGAUCAAACAGGAUUAGAUACCCUGGUAGUCCGCACCGUAAACGAUGAUUACUCGUUGUUGGCGAUAUGACGGUUCAGCGACCAAGCGAAAGCGAUAAGUAAUCCACCUGGGGAGUACGCCGGCAACGGUGAAACUCAAAGUGAUGACGNGAGAGAGNGACGAGACGACGACGGAGGGAGGAG